AUUAUUGCUUAUAUUUGUUGGUGUGGCUCUCUCAUGGAUAAGUGCCAAAAUACCUGCCGAGUGUUAUUUACCGCAUAGCAGAGGAAUAACGACGGCCAAAGCUUUUCUAAUGUACACCUAUAACAAACAAAUAUCUGAAUGCAUAUCUUUCAUUUACUCCGGAUCUGGAGGCAAUAAUAAUCGCUUCUGGUCGAAAAGCGACUGUGUGCACACCUGUGUGCCAAAUUAAAAGUUAAUAUUUAAGUUCUGCUGCAGCCCUAAACAUAAAACAUCAAUACAAUCCUUAAAUUUUCUUUAAUGCUUUUUAAAAUAUUUAAAUUUUUAAAAUAAAUAUAAAAUAAGUUAUCAAUUUUAAAACUUAA